rnacentral:tRNA from 1 species
UCGUUAGCUCAGUUGGUAGAGCACCGGGCUUUUAACCUGUAGGUCGUAGGUUCGAAUCCUACACGAC